rnacentral:lncRNA from 1 species
CUCUCCUCUUUUUUUUCCUUUUUUCCUCUUCUUAUUUAUUUCUCCUCUUCUUCAUCGUUUUCUUUUCCUUCUUCCUAAACUAAACAUAAACUAAAAUAAUCCUAAAACUAAACGAAACUUCUCCUCCUCCCUUUUUAUUUCUUCUUCUUCUUUUUUUCAUAGAAUUUUUAUUUCUUCUUCUUCUUUUUUCAUCCUAAAACUUUAGGAACAAAAUUACAACAGAAAAAACAAUAAAAAUUCUAUGAACAAAAUAAAAAUUCUAUGAACAAAAUUACAACAGAAAAAAAUCCUAUGAACAAAAUUACAAUAAAAAAUCCUAUGAACAAAAUUACAAUAAAAAUUCUAUGAACAAAAAAAAAUAAAAA